rnacentral:rRNA from 1 species
AGCGAACGCUGGCGGCAGGCUUAACACAUGCAAGUCGAGCGGGCACUUUCGGGUGUCCGCGGCGGACGGGUGAGUAACGCGUGGGAACGUGCCCUCUGGUUCGGAAUAACUCAGGGAAACUUGAGCUAAUACCGGAUACGCCCUUUUGGGGAAAGGCUUGCUGCCGGAGGAUCGGCCCGCGUCCGAUUAGCUAGUUGGUGAGGUAACGGCUCACCAAGGCGACGAUCAGUAGCUGGUCUGAGAGGAUGAUCAGCCACACUGGGACUGAGACACGGCCCAGACUCCUACGGGAGGCAGCAGUGGGGAAUAUUGGACAAUGGGCGCAAGCCUGAUCCAGCCAUGCCGCGUGAGUGAUGAAGGCCUUAGGGUUGUAAAGCUCUUUUAUCCGGGACGAUGAUGACGGUACCGGAGGAAUAAGCCCCGGCUAACUUCGUG